GCCGGGGUGGCCUAGCUGGUUAGGGCGCCAGACUCAUAGGGAACGAAAAUGAGGCGCUCGUCUCCUGAGGCAUCUGGAAGUCACGGGUUCGGAUCCCGUUCCCGGCA
rnacentral:tRNA from 1 species